rnacentral:rRNA from 1 species
CAGGUGGUCAGGUAGAGAAUACCAAGGCGCUUGAGAGAACUCGGGUGAAGGAACUAGGCAAAAUGGUGCCGUAACUUCGGGAGAAGGCACGCUGACACGUAGGUGAAGUGGUUUACCCAUGGAGCUGAAGUCAGUCGAAGAUACCAGCUGGCUGCAACUGUUUAUUAAAAACACAGCACUGUGCAAACACGAAAGUGGACGUAUACGGUGUGACGCCUGCCCGGUGCCGGAAGGUUAAUUGAUGGGGUCAGCGCAAGCGAAGCUCCUGAUCGAAGCCCCGGUAAACGGCGGCCGUAACUAUAACGGUCCUAAGGUAGCGAAAUUCCUUGUCGGGUAAGUUCCGACCUGCACGAAUGGCGUAAUGAUGGCCAGGCUGUCUCCACCCGGGACUCAGUGAAAUUGAACUCGCUGUGAAGAUGCAGUGUACCCGCGGCAAGACGGAAAGACCCCGUGAACCUUUACUAUAGCUUGACACUGAACACUGGUCCUUGAUGUGCAGGAUAGGUGGGAGGCUUUGAAGUGUGGACGCCAGUCUGCAUGGAGCCGACCUUGAAAUACCACCCUUUAAUGGCUGGUGUUCUAACGUGGGCCCCUGACCGGGGUUGCGGACAGUGUCUGGUGGGUAGUUUGACUGGGGCGGUCUCCUCCUAAAGAGUAACGGAGGAGCACGAAGGUUGGCUAAUCCUGGUCGGACAUCAGGAGGUUAGUGCAAUGGCAUAAGCCAGCUUGACUGCGAGCGUGACGGCGCGAGCAGGUGCGAAAGCAGGUCAUAGUGAUCCGGUGGUUCUGAAUGGAAGGGCCAUCGCUCAACGGAUAAAAGGUACUCCGGGGAUAACAGGCUGAUACCGCCCAAGAGUUCAUAUCGACGGCGGUGUUUGGCACCUCGAUGUCGGCUCAUCACAUCCUGGGGCUGAAGUAGGUCCCAAGGGUAUGGCUGUUCGCCAUUUAAAGUGGUACGCGAGCUGGGUUUAGAACGUCGUGAGACAGUUCGGUCCCUAUCUGCCGUGGGCGCUGGAAGAUUGAGGGGGGCUGCUCCUAGUACGAGAGGACCGGAGUGGACGCAUCACUGGUGUUCGGGUUGUCAUGCCAAUGGCACUGCCCGGUAGCUACAUGCGGAAGAGAUAAGUGCUGAAAGCAUCUAAGCACGAAACUUGCCCCGAGAUGAAUCUUCCCUGAGCCUUUAAGGCUCCUGAAGGAACGUUGAAGACGACGACGUUGAUAGGCCGGGUGUGUAAGCGCAGCGAUGCGUUGAGCUAACCGGUACUAAUGAACCGUGAGGCUUAACCUUACAACGCCGAA